GAUGAACGCUGGCGGCGUGCCUAAUACAUGCAAGUCGAGCGAAGCGGGGACGGGUGAGUAACACGUGGAUAACCUCCUAUAUGAAUGGGAUAACUUCCGGAAACCGGUGCUAAACCGGCUACUUUUCGCUGGUUCCGGGCUGCAUUAGCUAGUUGGUAAGGUAACGGCUGACCAAGGCAACGACUCAUAGCCGACCUGAGAGGUUGAGCAGCAACACUGGAACUGAGAAACGGUCCAGACUACUACGGGAGGCAGCAGUAGGGAAGAUUCCGCAAUGGGCGAAAGCCUGACGGAGCAACGCCGCGUGUGUGAUGAAGGUCUUCGGAUCGUAAAACUCUGUUAGUAGGGAAGCGGUACCUAAACAGAAAGCCACGGCUAACUACGUGCCAGCAGCCGCGGUAAUAC
rnacentral:rRNA from 1 species